rnacentral:rRNA from 1 species
GACGAACGCUGGCGGCGUGCCUAAUACAUGCAAGUUGAGCGCUGAAGGUUGGUACUUGUACCAACUGGAUGAGCAGCGAACGGGUGAGUAACGCGUGGGGAAUCUGCCUUUGAGCGGGGGACAACAUUUGGAAACGAAUGCCAAUACCGCAUAAAAACUUUAAACACAAGUUUUAAGUUUGAAAGAUGCAAUUGCAUCACUCAAAGAUGAUCCCGCGUUGUAUUAGCUAGUUGGUGAGGUAAAGGCUCACCAAGGCGAUGAUACAUAGCCGACCUGAGAGGGUGAUCGGCCACAUUGGGACUGAGACACGGCCCAAACUCCCACGGGAGGCAGCAGUAGGGAAUCUUCGGCAAUGGACGAAAGUCUGACCGAGAAACGCCGCGGGAGUGAAGAAGGGUUUCGGAUCGUAAAACUCUGUUGGUAGAGAAGAACGUUGGUGAGAGUGGAAAGCUCAUCAAGUGACGGUAACUACCCAAAAAGGGACGGCUAACUACGUG